UACGAAGGGUGCAAGCGUUACUCGGAAUUACUGGGCGUAAAGGGUGCGUAGGUGGUUUGUUAAGUCUGCUGUGAAAUCCCCGGGCUCAACCUGGGAAUGGCAGUGGAUACUGGCAAGCUAGAGUGCGGUAGAGGUAGUGGAAUUCCCGGUGUAGCAGUGAAAUGCGUAGAGAUCGGGAGGAACACCAGUGGCGAAGGCGGCUACCUGGACCAGCACUGACACUGAAGCACGAAAGCGUGGGGAGCAAACAGG
rnacentral:rRNA from 1 species